GGAUGAACGCUGGCGGCGUGCCUAAUACCUGCAAGUCGAGCGAACAGACGAGGAGCUUGCUCCUCUGACGUUAGCGGCGGACGGGUGAGUAACACGUGGAUAACCUACCUAUAAGACUGGGAUAACUUCGGGAAACCGGAGCUAAUACCGGAUAAUAUAUUGAACCGCAUGGUUCAAUAGUGAAAGACGGUUUUGCUGUCACUUAUAGAUGGAUCCGCGCCGCAUUAGCUAGUUGGUAAGGUAACGGCUUACCAAGGCAACGAUGCGUAGCCGACCUGAGAGGGUGAUCGGCCACACUGGAACUGAGACACGGUCCAGACUCCUACGGGAGGCAGCAGUAGGGAAUCUUCCGCAAUGGGCGAAAGCCUGACGGAGCAACGCCGCGUGAGUGAUGAGGGUCUUCGGAUCGUAAAACUCUGUUAUUAGGGAAGAACAAAUGUGUAAGUAACUAUGCACGUCUUGACGGUACCUAAUCAGAAAGCCACGGCUAACUACGUG
rnacentral:rRNA from 1 species